rnacentral:rRNA from 1 species
GAUGAACGCUAGCGGCAUGCCUAAUACAUGCAAGUCGUGGGGCAGCAGGACUGUAGCAAUACAGUGGCUUUCGACCGGCAAACGGGUGCGGCACACGUACGAAACUUAUCCUGAACUGGGGGAUAGCCCGGGGAAACCCGGUUUAAUACCCCGUUAUAUAGUGGAGUGGCAUCACUUUAUUAUUAAAGCUCCUGCUGUUCGUUAUGGGCGUGCGGCUGAUUAGGUAGUUGGUUGAUGUAACGGCUCAGCAAGCCUACGAUGAUUAACUGCUGUGAGAGCACGACCAAUCACACGGGAAACGAGACACGGACCCGACUGCUACGGAAGGGAGCAGUAACGUACGUUAGGCAAUGGAGGCUAAUCUGACACCGCCGUGCCGCGUGGGAGAUGCAGGCCAUCUGAGAUGUAAACUAGUUUUAUAGGGGACAAGACCUGUGUAUUCUUACGAAGUUGACGGUACCCUAGGAAUAAGCACCGGCUAACUCCGUG